rnacentral:rRNA from 1 species
AUUGAACACUGGCGGCAGGCCUAACACAUGCCAGUCGAGCGGAUGAAGGGAGCUUGCUCCUGGAUUCAGCGGCGGACGGGUGAGUAAUGCCUAGGAAUCUGCCUGGUAGUGGGGGAUAACGUCCGGAAACGGGCGCUAAUACCGCAUACGUCCUGAGGGAGAAAGUGGGGGAUCUUCGGACCUCACGCUAUCAGAUGAGCCUAGGUCGGAUUAGCUAGUUGGUGGGGUAAAGGCCUACCAAGGCGACGAUCCGUAACUGGUCUGAGAGGAUGAUCAGUCACACUGGAACUGAGACACGGUCCAGACUCCUACGGGAGGCAGCAGUGGGGAAUAUUGGACAAUGGGCGAAAGCCUGAUCCAGCCAUGCCGCGUGUGUGAAGAAGGUCUUCGGAUUGUAAAGCACUUUAAGUUGGGAGGAAGGGCAGUAAAUUAAUACCUUGCUGUUUUGACGUUACCAACAGAAUAAGCACCGGCUAACUUCGUG